CGCUGAUCAGUGCGGGGGGUCUCCCGGGGAUCGGAUCACCUGCAGCGCAGCGCAGCGCACACCGAGUUCUGCAUCGCUCUGCACGGGGCUCGCCUGCUGCU